UCCCUGGUGGCUCAGACGGUAAAGCGUCUGCCUACAAUGCGGGAGACCCGGGUUCGAUCCCUGGGUCGGGAA
rfam:TPA: Bos taurus chromosome 3, whole genome shotgun sequence.